CCUACGGGAGGCAGCAGUAGGGAAUCUUUCACAAUGGGCGAAAGCCUGAUGGAGCAACGCCGCGUGCAGGAUGAAGGCCUUCGGGUUGUAAACUGCUUUUAUAAGCGAGAAAUAUGAUGGUAACUUAUGAAUAAGGAUCGGCUAACUACGUGCCAGCAGCCGCGGUCAUACGUAGGAUCCGAGCAUUAUCCGGAGGGACUGGGUGGAACGAGUUGCGUAGGUGGCAUAAUAAGUAGCUAGUGAAAUCUGGUGGCUCAACCAUUCAGACUAUUAGCUACACUGGUAAGCUCGAGACCGUUAGGGGUAACUGGAAUUUCUAGUGUAGGAGUGAAAUCCGUAGAUAUUAGAAGGAACACCAAUAGCGUAGGCAGGUUGCUGGGACUGUUCUGACACUAAGGCACGAAAGCGUAGGGAGCAAACGGGAUUAGAUACCCGGGUAGUC
rnacentral:rRNA from 1 species